GAUGAAGAACGCAGCGAAAUGCGAAAAGUAAUGUGAAUUGCAGAAUUCAGUGAAUCAUCGAAUCUUUGAACGCACAUUGCGCCCGCCAGUAUUCUGGCGGGCAUGCCUGUCUGAGCGUCAUUUCAACCCUCACGCCCCUAGGGCGUGGUGUUGGGGAUCGGCCAAGGCCCGCAAGGGACGGCCGGCCCCUAAAUCUAGUGGCGGACCCAUCGUGGCCUCCCCUGCGAAGUAGUAAUAUAUUCCGCAUCGGAUAGCGAUGAGCCCCUGCCGUUAAACCCCCAACUCUUUCAAGGUUGACCUCAGAUCAGGUAGGAAUACCCGCUGAACUUAAGCAUAUCAAUAAGCGGAGGA
rnacentral:misc_RNA from 1 species